rnacentral:lncRNA from 1 species
AAUUAGCCAAAACUAUCAAAAACAAACUUGAAAAACGCUAAUGACAACAUCCUGGCAGCUUUGACCUUUGCUGAGUGUUUUACUUAUAACUUUCUGCACAGAAAUCCAAAUGAAGUGAUUCUUUUUUUGGACAAUUGAGCUAGAUGCAGUUUAAGUUUCAAAAUCGUCACAGUUUGCUGCCAGAACAAAUGAUAGAUGGAAAACAAAACACAAGACAAG